rnacentral:rRNA from 1 species
AUCUGCCGUGGGCGCUGGAGAACUGAGGGGGGCUGCUCCUAGUACGAGAGGACCGGAGUGGACGCAUCACUGGUGUUCGGGUUGUCAUGCCAAUGGCACUGCCCGGUAGCUAAAUGCGGAAGAGAUAAGUGCUGAAAGCAUCUAAGCACGAAACUUGCCCCGAGAUGAGUUCUCCCUGACUCCUUGAGAGUCCUGAAGGAACGUUGAAGACGACGACGUUGAUAGGCCGGGUGUGUAAGCGCAGCGAUGCGUUGAGCUAACCGGUACUAAUGAACCGUGAGGCUUAACCUUACAACGCCGAAG